GUUUUUGUAAAGUUCGGCUUCUUCGCUUCUCUUCCGUUUUGCUACUCUCUCCGGCGAGAAGAAGGAAACACAAAGCUCAGAUCAUCUGCGAAGCCUCUUUUCGUGUUUAGGUCUCGAAGAUAGUAACGUAAUUCGAAGAUUCCUGGCGUCUCUGCUAUACUACCAGUGGCUCCAAUACCGAUGGUUCGACACCCUCCACUUGCACGCCCACCUGCUUUCAGGCCACCACAAAACGGUGGAGCCAAAGCAGAUGAUGAGCGUUACGUGAUAUCUGAAGAGAGCAGGCAAGCCAGAGAAAGACAAGAAAGGGCA